AUCUACGGCCAUAUCACGUUGAAUUCACCGGUUCUCGUCCGAUCACCGAAGUUAAGCAACGUCGAGCCCGGUUAGUACUUGGAUGGGUGACCGCCUGGGAAUACCGGGUGCUGUAGGCU
rnacentral:rRNA from 1 species